rnacentral:rRNA from 1 species
UGAGGUCACACCUCUUCCCAUUCCGAACAGAGAAGUUAAGCUCACCAGCGCCGAUGGUACUGCCUUGGAGACGAGGUGGGAGAGUAGGACACUGCCGGAU